GUGAGAAUCGUUUCAGCUUCAGCGCGGCGCUGUUUCUUAAGCCAGAAUGGGCGUGGAGCAGAAUUGAAGCCAGCUCUUUUGGAGGGAUGAACAUGGGAUGAGUUAAAGCAAGGCUCAUUCAAGCUUUCAGGGUGGUUCCAAUUCAGUCAGUUCUUCCAGUUGUGGAUCCACAUCCAUGGGCUCUCCAUCACUGUCAAGAAGGGCCAAGUAUAUGGGCCCAUUGGUACAGAGUCUCCCUAUUGGCCGCCACUUCUUGUUAGGAGAAGACUCAAUCAACCCCUUUAUAAGAAGAUAGAACACAAGUCUCACUUGCAAAAAGAG
ensembl:lncRNA